GUGCUAUAAUGCAGUCGAGCGGACAGAAGGGAGCUUGCUCCCGGAUGUUAGCGGCGGACGGGUGAGUAACACGUGGGUAACCUGCCUGUAAGACUGGGAUAACUCCGGGAAACCGGAGCUAAUACCGGAUAGUUCCUUGAACCGCAUGGUUCAAGGAUGAAAGACGGUUUCGGCUGUCACUUACAGAUGGACCCGCGGCGCAUUAGCUAGUUGGUGAGGUAACGGCUCACCAAGGCGACGAUGCGUAGCCGACCUGAGAGGGUGAUCGGCCACACUGGGACUGAGACACGGCCCAGACUCCUACGGGAGGCAGCAGUAGGGAAUCUUCCGCAAUGGACGAAAGUCUGACGGAGCAACGCCGCGUGAGUGAUGAAGGUUUUCGGAUCGUAAAGCUCUGUUGUUAGGGAAGAACAAGUGCAAGAGUAACUGCUUGCACCUUGACGGUACCUAACCAGAAAGCCACGGCUAACUACGUGCCAGCAGCCGCGGUAAUACGUAGGUGGCAAGCGUUGUCCGGAAUUAUUGGGCGUAAAGGGCUCGCAGGCGGUUUCUUAAGUCUGAUGUGAAAGCCCCCGGCUCAACCGGGGAGGGUCAUUGGAAACUGGGAAACUUGAGUGCAGAAGAGGAGAGUGGAAUUCCACGUGUAGCGGUGAAAUGCGUAGAGAUGUGGAGGAACACCAGUGGCGAAGGCGACUCUCUGGUCUGUAACUGACGCUGAGGAGCGAAAGCGUGGGGAGCGAACAGGAUUAGAUACCCUGGUAGUCCACG
rnacentral:rRNA from 1 species